AAAUUAAAGCCAUAUACUUUGGUGAUGUUUUCUUUGUGCAGCCCAAUAAAGCUUAUCUGGGGAUCAGAGUAAAAAGCCAGCCCACUAUAUUAAACAUAGAAGUCAGGUAAUGGCAGCACAUGCCUUUAAUUUUAGCAUUCAGGAGACAGAGAUUCAUCUGAAUCUCUGUGAGUUCAAGGCC